GAGGCCGAAAGGCGUAGUCGAUGGGAAACGGGUUAAUAUUCCCGUACUUGGUGUUACUGCGAAGGGGGGACGGAGAAGGCUAUGUUGGCCGGGCGACGGUUGUCCCGGUUUAAGCGUGUAGGCUGGUUUUCCAGGCAAAUCCGGAAAAUCAAGGCUGAGGCGUGACGACGAGGCACUACGGUGCUGAAGCAACAAAUGCCCUGCUUCCAGGAAAAGCCUCUAAGCAUCAGGUAACACGAAAUCGUACCCCAAACCGACACAGGUGGUCAGGUAGAGAAUACCAAGGCGCUUGAGAGAACUCGGGUGAAGGAACUAGGCAAAAUGGUGCCGUAACUUCGGGAGAAGGCACGCUGACAUGUAGGUGAAGUGAUUUACUCAUGGAGCUGAAGUCAGUCGAAGAUACCAGCUGGCUGCAACUGUUUAUUAAAAACACAGCACUGUGCAAACACGAAAGUGGACGUAUACGGUGUGACGCCUGCCCGGUGCCGGAAGGUUAAUUGAUGGGGUCAGCGCAAGCGAAGCUCCUGAUCGAAGCCCCGGUAAACGGCGGCCGUAACUAUAACGGUCCUAAGGUAGCGAAAUUCCUUGUCGGGUAAGUUCCGACCUGCACGAAUGGCGUAAUGAUGGCCAGGCUGUCUCCACCCGAGACUCAGUGAAAUUGAACUCGCUGUGAAGAUGCAGUGUACCCGCGGCAAGACGGAAAGACCCCGUGAACCUUUACUAUAGCUUGACACUGAACAUUGAGCCUUGAUGUGUAGGAUAGGUGGGAGGCUUUGAAGUGUGGACGCCAGUCUGCAUGGAGCCGACCUUGAAAUACCACCCUUUAAUGUUUGAUGUUCUAACGUGGACCCGUGAUCCGGGUUGCGGACAGUGUCUGGUGGGUAGUUUGACUGGGGCGGUCUCCUCCUAAAGAGUAACGGAGGAGCACGAAGGUUGGCUAAUCCUGGUCGGACAUCAGGAGGUUAGUGCAAUGGCAUAAGCCAGCUUGACUGCGAGCGUGACGGCGCGAGCAGGUGCGAAAGCAGGUCAUAGUGAUCCGGUGGUUCUGAAUGGAAGGGCCAUCGCUCAACGGAUAAAAGGUACUCCGGGGAUAACAGGCUGAUACCGCCCAAGAGUUCAUAUCGACGGCGGUGUUUGGCACCUCGAUGUCGGCUCAUCACAUCCUGGGGCUGAAGUAGGUCCCAAGGGUAUGGCUGUUCGCCAUUUAAAGUGGUACGCGAGCUGGGUUUAGAACGUCGUGAGACAGUUCGGUCCCUAUCUGCCGUGGGCGCUGGAGAACUGAGGGGGGCUGCUCCUAGUACGAGAGGACCGGAGUGGACGCAUCACUGGUGUUCGGGUUGUCAUGCCAAUGGCACUGCCCGGUAGCUAAAUGCGGAAGAGAUAAGUGCUGAAAGCAUCUAAGCACGAAACUUGCCCCGAGAUGAGUUCUCCCUGAGACUUAAAGUCUCCUGAAGGAACGUUGAAGACGACGACGUUGAUAGGCCGGGUGUGUAAGCGCAGCGAUGCGUUGAGCUAACCGGUACUAAUGAACCGUGAGGCUUAACCUUACAACGCCGAAG
rnacentral:rRNA from 1 species